GCAUUUUUUGGGCCUUUUUUGGGGCUUCUGGUGCCGUUUUUGGGGUAUUUUUGGGCCGGAUUUUUGGGUGUUUUCGUGGCUGUUUUUGGGUAUUUUUGGGACAUUUUUUGGGUAUUUUUGGGACAUUUUUUGACUAUUUUUGGGGCAUUUUUUGGGCAUUUUUGGGGCAUUUUUUGGGCAUUUUUGGGGUAUUUUUGGGACAUUUUUUGACUAAUUUUGGGGCAUUUUUUGGGCCUUUUUUGGGGCUUCUGGUGCCGUUUUUGGGGUAUUUUUGGGCCGGAUUUUUGGGUGUUUUCGUGGCUGUUUUUGGGUAUUUUUGGGACAUUUUUUGGGUAUUUUUGGGACAUUUUUUGACUAUUUUUGGGGCAUUUUUUGGGCAUUUUUGGGGCAUUUUUUGGGCAUUUUUGGGGUAUUUUUGGGACAUUUUUUGACUAAUUUUGGGGCAUUUUUUGGGCCUUUUUUGGGGCUUCUGGUGCCGUUUUUGGGGUAUUUUUGGGCCGGAUUUUUGGGUGUUUUCGUGGCUGUUUUUGGGUAUUUUUGGGACAUUUUUUGGGUAUUUUUGGGACAUUUUUUGACUAUUUUUGGGGCAUUUUUUGGGUAUUUUUGGGACAUUUUUGGGGCCGUUUUUGGGUAUUUUUGGGACAUUUUUGGGACAUUUUUUGGGGU
rnacentral:lncRNA from 12 species